AGUGAACGCUGGCGGUAGGCCUAACACAUGCAAGUCGAACGGCAGCACAGUAAGAGCUUGCUCUUACGGGUGGCGAGUGGCGGACGGGUGAGGAAUACAUCGGAAUCUACUUUUUCGUGGGGGAUAACGUAGGGAAACUUACGCUAAUACCGCAUACGACCUACGGGUGAAAGCAGGGGAUCUUCGGACCUUGCGCGAUUGAAUGAGCCGAUGUCGGAUUAGCUAGUUGGCGGGGUAAAGGCCCACCAAGGCGACGAUCCGUAGCUGGUCUGAGAGGAUGAUCAGCCACACUGGAACUGAGCCACGGUCCAGACUCCUACGGGAGGCACCAGUGGGGAAUAUUGGACAAUGGGCGCAAGCCUGAUCCAGCCAUACCGCGUGGGUGAAGAAGGCCUUCGGGUUGUAAAGCCCUUUUGUUGGGAAAGAAAAGCAGCAGGUUAAUACCCCGCUGUUCUGACGGUACCCAAAGAAUAAGCACCGGCUAACUUCGUG
rnacentral:rRNA from 1 species